UACGUAGGGUGCAAGCGUUAAUCGGAAUUACUGGGCGUAAAGCGUGCGCAGGCGGUUAUGUAAGACAGAUGUGAAAUGCCCGGGCUUAACCUGGGAACUGCAUUUGUGACUGCAUGGCUAGAGUUUGGCAGAGGGGGGUAGAAUUCCACGUGUAGCAGUGAAAUGCGUAGAUAUGUGGAGGAACACCGAUGGCGAAGGCAGCCCCCUGGGUCAAGACUGACGCUCAUGCACGAAAGCGUGGGAGC
rnacentral:rRNA from 1 species